rnacentral:rRNA from 1 species
UGGGGAAUAUUGCACAAUGGGCGCAAGCCUGAUGCAGCCAUGCCGCGUGUGUGAAGAAGGCCUUCGGGUUGUAAAGCACUUUCAGCGAGGAGGAAGGGUAGUGUGUUAAUAGCACAUUGCAUUGACGUUACUCGCAGAAGAAGCACCGGCUAACUCCGUGCCAGCAGCCGCGGUAAUACGGAGGGUGCAAGCGUUAAUCGGAAUUACUGGGCGUAAAGCGCACGCAGGCGGUUUGUUAAGUCAGAUGUGAAAUCCCCGCGCUUAACGUGGGAACUGCAUUUGAAACUGGCAAGCUAGAGUCUUGUAGAGGGGGGUAGAAUUCCAGGUGUAGCGGUGAAAUGCGUAGAGAUCUGGAGGAAUACCGGUGGCGAAGGCGGCCCCCCUGGACAAAGACUGACGCUCAGGUGCGAAAGC